ACCCAGCUAGCUCAGAUGGCAGAGCAUGGGAUUCUUGAUCUCAGGAUUGUGGGUUUGGGCCCCAUGCUGGGCG